ensembl:rRNA 5S_rRNA 5S ribosomal RNA
GGCACAUGUAAUAUCACCCUGCAGCCCAAGACUGGUUUCUCACUGAAUUUAAGCAGGGCUGAGCCUGAUCAGUAUCUGAAUGGGAGACCAUAUGAGGAAACUAGGUUGCGGUUGGAA